UACAGAGGGGGCAAGCGUUGUUCGGAAUUACUGGGCGUAAAGGGCGCGUAGGCGCCUUCUAAGUCGAACGUGAAAUCCCCGGGCUCAACCCGGGAACUGCGUCCGAUACUGGAAGGCUUGAAUCCGGGAGAGGGAUGUGGAAUUCCAGGUGUAGCGGUGAAAUGCGUAGAUAUCUGGAGGAACACCGGUGGCGAAGGCGGGUCUCUGGGCCGAUACUGACGCUGAGGAGCGAAAGCGUGGGGAGCGAACAGG
rnacentral:rRNA from 1 species